UCUAGGUCACAUUUGGGUAUGGAUUAAAGAAAGAUGAUGAACCUUCUGUUAUUUUUGAAAUGCAUGAUGAAUUAACUAGGUUGUGCUUGUCAGCUCUGUUUAUUAAGAUGGACCGGAACCAAGCCCCAGAACCCAAACAACAACCAAAGCAAGUUCAACCUUGGAUCCAGACUUUUUACCUGUUUUCCCUUUUGAACGACCCAAACCCAGUUUUUAAGGUAAUUUUGAUCAGGAUUUGAUCUAUUUCUAAUUACUAAGAGAAGCAGAAUCACAGUCUUGAGUUCAGGAGAUAAAAUACAAAAAAAUUGGCUCUUUGUCAAGAACCUUUUUUUCCAGAGUUAUGGAACUGUUUUUAUCACCACUGUGGUAUAAAUGAGCCUUCUAAAUAGACACAGGAAGGUGGAUAUAGUACCUUCAGUCAUCAUCUUCUGUCUCUGCAGGUGGCUGUCCCAGCAGACUCAGGCAAUGACAGGUUUUACAGUAACAUUGCCCUAAUCUGCAAGAGCAGAAAGAGUGGGAAUGUUCUUUUCCCUCAUUGACUGUCUCACUCUCUGAGAUUUGUUGCAUCGCUGAACAUGUGCUUGUAACUACAACUCAGUAUAAUUGAGGUCAUAAAAUUAUACAGCCAAUUAUGUAAAAUGAUCAUUGUUAAUUGUAAUCAUUUCUCGUAGGAUAAAAUGGGAACAAACCCA